GAUGAAGCCCCUCGGGGUGUAAACUGCUGUCAGGGUUCAGCAACACAAUGAGCAGACCCAAAGGAAGGGCCGGCUAACUUCGUGCCAGCAGCCGCGGUAAUACGAAGGGCCCGAGCGUUGCGCGGAAUCACUGGGCUUAAAGCGUGCGCAGGCGGACUGGUAGGCGACUUGUGAAAGCCCUCGGCUCAACCGAGGAAUUGCUCGUCGAACCCCCAGUCUUGAGGCAGGUAGGGGCCGUCGGAACGAUCGGUGGAGUGGUGAAAUGCGUUGAUAUCGAUCGGAACACCGAAGGAGAAAUCAGGCGGCUGGGCCUGUCCUGACGCUCAUGCACGAAAGCGUGGGUAGCGAACGGGAUUAGAUACCCCGGUAGUCCUAGCCGUAAACGAUGGGCACUAGGUAGAGGGUUUGCCUAUGGAACUCUCUGCCGUAGCAAAUGUGUUAAGUGCCCCGCCUGGGGAGUACGCUCGCAAGGGUAAAACUCAAAGGAAUUGACGGGGGCUCACACAAG
rnacentral:rRNA from 1 species